UACGUAGGGUGCAAGCGUUAAUCGGAAUACUGGGCGUAAAGCGUGCGCAGGCGGCUUUGCAAGACAGAUGUGAAAUCCCCGGGCUUAACCUGGGAACUGCAUUUGUGACUGCAAGGCUAGAGUACGGUAGAGGGGGAUGGAAUUCCGCGUGUAGCAGUGAAAUGCGUAGAUAUGCGGAGGAACACCGAUGGCGAAGGCAAUCCCCUGGACCUGUACUGACGCUCAUGCACGAAAGCGUGGGGAGCAAACAGG
rnacentral:rRNA from 1 species